rnacentral:rRNA from 1 species
AUGAGGGUCGCGCCAGGCGGCGGGGAGGCAACUGUGCUUGUCACGGAGGUUGACGGCGUACCUCUCCGCUUCACCAACGGGGUGGACAUCGACCAGGUAACCGGAGAGGUCUACUUCACCGACAGCUCCAGGAACUACAAUAGGUCGCAACAUGAAAUGGUCACAAGAACCGGAGACUCGACGGGUCGGCUACUGAGGUAUGACCCACGGACAGGAAAGGCCGUCGUGCUCCAGGCCGACAUCACUUACCCCAAUGGCCUCGCCAUCAGCGCUGAUCAGACACAUCUCGUCAUCUCAUCGACCGGACCGUGUAAGCUGCUACGAUACUGGAUCAAGGGCUCCAAGGCGGGCACCAUGGAGCUAUUCGCCGACCUCCCUGGCUAUCCAGACAAUGUGAGGCCCGACAAGAAAGGAGGAUACUGGGUGGCACUACACCGUGAGAAGGCUGAGCUCCCCUUUGGCGUUGAUAGCCACCUGCUAGCAUUGAGGAUCGAUGCCGAUGGAAAAAUAAUCGAGGAGAUGCGGGGACCAAAGGGUGUGAGGCCGACCGAGGUGGUGGAGAGGAAAGGUGGCAGACUAUUCAUGGGAUCCGUCGAGCUUCACUAUGUGUCCGUCGUCACGCGCAAAUAG